GGGGACCCGCAGACUUGCCCAGCCCAUAGCUAGGGCACUUUUUUGAACUUUAUGAAAAGUGGUACCAAGUGUCAAUUUUCAUUGCUGUCAGAAAAUCUUAAAGGAAAUGUUUCCCAUCGAGGCAGGAGAAAUCAACCCCGAGAACAGGAUCAUCCCGCACCUCCCCGCUCCGCGCUGGUUCGAUGGGCAGCGCGCCGCCGAGAACCGCCAGGGGGACGCUGUCCGAGUACUGCUCCUCGCUCAUGGCUCUGCCCCCCAAGAUCUCCCGCGGCCCGCACAUGCUGGGCUUCUUCAAGGUGCGGCCCGACGACCUGCAGCUGCCCGGGGGACAGCCCGUGAGUGGCCCAGAGACCUACCUGGUGCCCAAGGACGGCAAGAGCAGCGCCGCUGACAUCACGGGCCCCAUCAUCCUGCAGAGCUACCGAGCCAUCGCCGACUACCAGAAGACUUCGGGCUCGAGAUGGCUCUGAGCAUGGGCGACGGGUGGAAGUCGUGGAGAAGAGCGAGGCGGCUGGUGGUUCUGCCAAAUGAAGGCAAAGCGUGGCUGGGUCCCGGCAUCCUUUUUGGAGCCCCUGGACAGUCCUGAUGAGGCUGAGGAACCAGAGCCCAACUAUGCAGGUGAGCCCUACGUCACCAUCAAAGCCUACACUGCUGUGGAGGAGGAUGAGGUGACCCUGUCCGAGGGGGAGGCCAUUGAGGUCAUCCAUAAGCUCCUGGACGGCUGGUGGGUGGUCAGAAAGGAGGACAUCACCGGCUACUUCCCGUCCAUGUACCUGCAGAAGGCGGGCCACGACGUGGCGCAGGCGCAGCGCCAGAUCAAGGGCCGAGGGGCGCCGCCUCGCCGGUGAGCGAGGGUCCUCGGGGCCGGGUGUGGGGGGCGGGCCCGGCGCGGACGCUGGGAGCGGCCAGGGCCCCGGUGACCUCGGAUCUCACUGGCCUGAGGUCGACCAUCCGCAACGCGCACAGCAUCCACCAGCGGUCGCGGAACCGCCUCACCCAGGACACCUACCGCCGCAACAGCGUGCGCUUCCUGCAGCAGCGGCGCGGCCAGGGCGCGGCCCGCACCGCAGAAGGAGAAUCCACGGAGUCAACGUGGGAAGCCGCAGCCAGCGGUGCCCCCGAGACCCAGCGCCGAAGUCAUCCUGCACCGCUGCAGCCGAGAGCACCAAGCGAGCUGGCGUCCGCUGUCUCCGUGUGAGGCCAGGUGCGGUCGCCUGCCGGCCCCAUCCUUGUAUAUUCGUGUGUAUAGCCUGCAGUCGGUGCCCUGGAGCCCUCAGCCCAGGAGAUCAUCCACAUUCUCAAUAAACGUUGCUUGGAGUGAACAGAGGCCCUGAGCGUUGGGUGGGGUGGGGUCUGUCCCAGAGACCCCACUUCCACCAACUGGGAAUUGAAACCAGAGCCUUCACACUGAGUUACAUUCUCAGCUCUUUUUUUUAAAUUUUUUGAGACAGAAUCUCUACGUUGCCCAGGCUGGGCUCGAGACCUUCGACCCUCCUGCCUCAGCCUCCCAGAGUGCUGGAUUUCAGGCAUGUGCCACCACUCCUGGGCAUGGGGAUAUUUCUGAAUGACAGGGGCCAGUGAGCUCCGCUGGGUGCUGGGUGCAAGCGGCAGCAGCAGGGGUCCCUGCUUGCACACUUCCUUGCUCUCGGCCAGGAACAGGUAUGCAGAAGGCCAAGAGCAAAGGGAGUCCCAGUCCCAGACCUUUAGCCUGGACAGAGGCCCCUGCUCGAUGGAGCUCUGCCCCCAGGGGCGGUGAGCACAAGCGCAGUAGGAGACUGGCUGUGUCCAGGGCGGGGCCACGCGGCCCCGAAGGAAAGCAAAGACACGCAGGUACAGAGGGUCCCCGCCACUCCGCUGUUCCUGCCCACCUAGGAGGCUGUGACAGAGCCACAUUCACGGAGCCGGGACCCCAGCACCGCCGCCGAACUGUGUUCGGCCUCAGAGCCACUGCUGGGGGCUCUGUCCCGCCACGGUGCAGAGCGGAACUGCAGAGGACACAAUUUGUAGUGAAGGCCACCCCAAGUGGCACAAGGCGCUGCUCCCCAGCUCGGGCAGUGGCUGUGAGGUGGACAAGGCCGGUCCCCUUAGAGGUGAGACACAAUCACGCGGACGGACGCUUCUGGAGAGAAUGUUCUGUCAAGAGGGUUGGGAGAGCCCUUCGGGGCCGGGACUUCGCAGGCCCUUCCUUCGUGGGAAAGUCUGGCAUCAACCGCUACCACAGAGCUAUGGGGAAAUGAAUAGACCCUGCCUGAUCACUGGCGCCUACGACCUUAUAAUUCUACGCAGAAUAAGCUACUUUCAUCGUUUUUAAUUUUUUUUUCCUAAGCUGAAACCCUUAGCAAAGCCUCGCUCCCGCGGUUUUUCCCUAUUUCCGGUCCCCAGGAAGCGGCCUUGCGUCAGUGCCAGCCUCUCCGUGUGGUUAGGAAGAGAUGUCCCCAGGGCCCGGGAGGGACAAGACCACAGGUGCCGGCUCUGUCAGAGUUGCCGCCACCGCCAGCCAUUUCCUCGAGGCUGGACUCAGUUCCGAAUCUCUAGUUCUGGGAGCAACAUUGGCAGGUGGGGAUUUUACAGGUGAGGAAACCAAAGCUCAGAAAAGGUAGGUGAUUUGCAUACACAAGAAGGGGACAGGGCUAGGAAGCGGAGCCAGG
ensembl:lncRNA